rnacentral:rRNA from 1 species
UGGGGAAUCUUGCGCAAUGGACGAAAGUCUGACGCAGCGACGCCGCGUGGGCGACGAAGGCCUUCGGGUUGUAAAGCCCUGUGGGGAGGGACGAACACUCACGAUUCGAACAGGGUUGUGAGCUGACGGUACCUCCUUAGCAAGCACCGGCUAACUCUGUGCCAGCAGCCGCGGUAAGACAGAGGGUGCAAACGUUGCUCGGAAUUACUGGGCGUAAAGCGCGAGUAGGCGGUUUCGCAAGUCUUGUGUGAAAGCCCGGGGCUCAACCCCGGAAGUGCACAGGAUACUACGGAGCUUGAGUACUGAAGAGGAGAGCGGAAUUCCCGGUGUAGAGGUGAAAUUCGUAGAUAUCGGGAGGAACACCAGUGGCGAAGGCGGCUCUCUGGGCAGAUACUGACGCUGAGACGCGAAAGCGUGGGUAGCAAACAGG